UUGCUCUGUGGGAUCAGUGGCGAACGGGUGAGUAACACGUGAGCAACCUGCCCCUGACUCUGGGAUAAGCGCUGGAAACGGCGUCUAAUACUGGAUAUGUGACGUGACCGCAUGGUCUGCGUUUGGAAAGAUUUUUCGGUUGGGGAUGGGCUCGCGGCCUAUCAGCUUGUUGGUGAGGUAAUGGCUCACCAAGGCGUCGACGGGUAGCCGGCCUGAGAGGGUGACCGGCCACACUGGGACUGAGACACGGCCCAGACUCCUACGGGAGGCAGCAGUGGGGAAUAUUGCACAAUGGGCGAAAGCCUGAUGCAGCAACGCCGCGUGAGGGAUGACGGCCUUCGGGUUGUAAACCUCUUUUAGCAGGGAAGAAGCGAAAGUGACGGUACCUGCAGAAAAAGCGCCGGCUAACUACGUGCCAGCAGCCGCGGUAAUACGUAGGGCGCAAGCGUUAUCCGGAAUUAUUGGGCGUAAAGAGCUCGUAGGCGGUUUGUCGCGUCUGCUGUGAAAUCCCGAGGCUCAACCUCGGGCCUGCAGUGGGUACGGGCAGACUAGAGUGCGGUAGGGGAGAUUGGAAUUCCUGGUGUAGCGGUGGAAUGCGCAGAUAUCAGGAGGAACACCGAUGGCGAAGGCAGAUCUCUGGGCCGUAACUGACGCUGAGGAGCGAAAGGGUGGGGAGCAAACAGGCUUAGAUACCCUGGUAGUCCACCCCGUAAACGUUGGGAACUAGUUGUGGGGUCCAUUCCACGGAUUCCGUGACGCAGCUAACGCAUUAAGUUCCCCGCCUGGGGAGUACGGCCGCAAGGCUAAAACUCAAAGGAAUUGACGGGGACCCGCACAAGCGGCGGAGCAUGCGGAUUAAUUCGAUGCAACGCGAAGAACCUUACCAAGGCUUGACAUAUACGAGAACGGGCCAGAAAUGGUCAACUCUUUGGACACUCGUAAACAGGUGGUGCAUGGUUGUCGUCAGCUCGUGUCGUGAGAUGUUGGGUUAAGUCCCGCAACGAGCGCAACCCUCGUUCUAUGUUGCCAGCACGUAAUGGUGGGAACUCAUGGGAUACUGCCGGGGUCAACUCGGAGGAAGGUGGGGAUGACGUCAAAUCAUCAUGCCCCUUAUGUCUUGGGCUUCACGCAUGCUACAAUGGCCGGUACAAAGGGCUGCAAUACCGUGAGGUGGAGCGAAUCCCAAAAAGCCGGUCCCAGUUCGGAUUGAGGUCUGCAACUCGACCUCAUGAAGUCGGAGUCGCUAGUAAUCGCAGAUCAGCAAC
rnacentral:rRNA from 1 species